GACAGAGGGGGCAAGCGUUGCUCGGAAUUAUUGGGCGUAAAGAGCUCGUAGGCGGUGUGUCGCGUCGGCCGUGAAAACCUGCAGCUUAACUGUGGGCUUGCGGUCGAUACGGGCAUCACUGGAGUUCGGCAGGGGAGACUGGAAUUCUCGGUGUAGCGGUGAAAUGCGUAGAUAUCGAGAGGAACACCUGCGGCGAAGGCGGGUUGCUGGGCUGACACUGACGCUGAUGCGCGAAAGCCAGGGGAGCAAACGGG
rnacentral:rRNA from 1 species